GGGGACGAUAGGAGUCGACAGGAGUCUACGGACACGGAUUGCGGGCCGAGGCGCCACCACCCUCGUUAAACAGGUGGCAAAACGUAACUGGCGAACGAGAACUCGCCCUCGCCGCCUAAUCAGGCGGUGACGUCGCCCCCGGGCUCAGCCCGGCAGACCGGGAGGCGGCGACGUAACGCCGGGCUGCACCCGCGAAGGCGCGCCACAGGUCUCGCGGCCAAGAUUACUGGGGCUGGCCGGCCCACCCCUCGUCGGUGAAGGCAGGCCGGUGAGAUCUUCUCACCGACUACGCCCGUAGCAGAUCCGUGACGGACGCUCGCUGGACGGGGAGUUCGAUUCUCCCCCGUCUCCACCA
rnacentral:tmRNA from 1 species